rnacentral:misc_RNA from 1 species
GAUGAAGAACGCAGCGAAAUGCGAUAAGUAAUGUGAAUUGCAGAAUUCAGUGAAUCAUCGAAUCUUUGAACGCACAUUGCGCCCGCCAGUAUUCUGGCGGGCAUGCCUGUUCGAGCGUCAUUUCAACCAUCAAGCCCCCGGCUUGUGUUGGGGACCUGCGGCUGCCGCAGGCCCUGAAAACCAGUGGCGGGCUCGCUAGUCACUCCGAGCGUAGCAAUACAUCUCGCUCAGGGCGUGCUGCGGGUUCCGGCCGUUAAAAAGCCUUAUUUACCCAAGGUUGACCUCGGAUCAGGUAGGAAGACCCGCUGAACUUAAGCAUAUCAAUAAGCGGAGGA